rnacentral:lncRNA from 7 species
GAGGGCAACCCUGCGGUUUUAGCGGCCCGGUGUGCGGGCAGGAGUGCCCUGCGAAGCGACGGCACGGUACGGGGGAAAUGCAGCCCAGUACCGUCUCGGCCAGCCCUGCUCUCAAGAGACUGCAAAUUAGAAUGAAAGUGUUUGAUUUGUUUUAACACUAUUGCAUGGAAUUCCCAAGAAAGAACACCUCUGGCUGGAUGGUGAGCACAGGCAGCGGGAGUGACGAAGACUGCCGGAUAACAACCCUGUGGAUAGGAGAGCAGGAAAUGUCAUCUAUCCUGGUGUAGAAGGGCUUCCAGCACAGUCUUCCAGAACAGCUUUUUGAGGCAGAGAGAAGCAUCACCUGAAUAAAGCUGAAAUGCCUGCUGGAAAUCCCCACACCUCUGACUUCAGCCUGGGGCUUUGCAACACAGGAGUGUGUGGAGCAAGGAGCAGCAUCCAUUCUGACAUCCUAUCCUAAUAAAACAGAUGAGUCAGAGUAAGC